AUUGCAUAAUGCAGUAGCCACUGGAUUUGCAGCAGAAACACUCUGCUACAGAACAAGUGUCUUGGUUCACAGCAAAGAGGACAAAGAAAACAGCAAGUUUUAGGGGGUUGAAUCCUGGAUUCCCCUGGCAAACACCAUUCUACUUUCCGUCUCUAUGAAUUUGACUACUCGAAGUACCUCAUGUGAAAUGUUGGUGCCAAAUGAACUUUUCUGGUUCUUCUGAAUGUGGUGACCAGAUGGAUAUAAACGGGCUGUGGAAAAAGAGAAUGCAUGGCCAAAAAUGGUGGUGCUCUCUGUCCAAAAACUGAGGCCCUAUGACCAUGAAUGAAGCCAGAGGGCAGGUAGGAAUAGAUCAUUUGCUCCAGAAGAAGCUGGUUGCCAUGUCUUGAGGACAGUAAACCCUCUGGGGAGGUUCCUGUGGUAAGGAACAAGGGCUCCUGGCAAUAGCCUCUGAGUGAGCCACCUUGAAAAUGGAUUGUCCAGCCCCAGUCAAGCUUUCAGAUGACUGUAGCUCCUGCCAAUGUCUUCACCACAACCUCAUGAGAUCCCAAGCUACAACCACUCAGAACUUCAUCUUUUGGGAAGCACCAGGGAGAGCUGCCUGUGCCUGGCAGAAGCUGCCCAUGCCCCACUGAUACCCCACAGUACUUCCUGUUCUGCUUAGUACUCCUGCUUCUUUCUACAAACAACUGUGAUUCUCUACCUGGGAGCUUCCUCUGGCCACAGGAGCCUGCUCACCUGAUUGGGACACCCUAGCAGUACUGGCUCAUAGAUGGAAGGGACUUGCCUUGUCGCUGAUGAGACUUUCGACUUGGACUUUUGAGUCAAUGCUGGAAUGAGUUAAGACUUUGGGGAACUGUUGGAAGGGUGUGAUUGUGUUUUGAAUUGUGAGGACAUGAGAUUUUGAAGAGGCUAAUGGCAGCGUCCCCACCUAAAUCUCUUCUUGAAUUGUAGUUCCCAUAAUCCCCACGUGUCGUGGGGUGGAGCCGGUGGAGAUAAUUGAAUCAUGGGAACACUUUCCCCCAUGCUGUUAUUGUGAUUGUGAAUUCUCACGAGAUCUGAUGGUUGUAUAAACGCCUUCCCUCUUCGCUGGGCACUCAUUUUUCUCCUUCCUGCCACCAUGUGAAGAAGGAUAUGCUUGCUUCUUGUGCCAUGAUUGUAAGUUUCCUGAGGCCUCCCCAGCCAUGCUGAACUGUGAGUCAAUUGAACCUCUUUCCUUUAUAAAUUACCUAGUCUUGGAUAUGUUUUUAUUAGCAGUGUGAGACAGGACUAAUACACAAAGGAUUUGAAAUCACAAAGGAGCUGUUUUCUGCUCCACCAUGGAAGUCUCACAUGCAUCACAUCUAUUCAUAUCCAUUUGCCACAACUAGACAAAAAGUCCUUUUUAAAAUCUGCCUAGAGAUCAGGAAGUAUUAUCUCUGGAUGCCUAGGCAGGAGAGGUGAAUCAGAUAUUGGUGGGCACUAGUGUGUUCUAUGAUACAUAGCUUAAUAAAAAUAAGUUUCAGAUAAAUCUAAAUAUACAUUAGAAUACUGUAACCACAGUAGAAAAAAAUAUUGGCUCCUUUUUGUGAUAAACUAAUGAUGGUAAAUGCACCCUAUUUAAGCAAGAAAAGAAACUGAUCUGCCAUAAAGAAAACAAUGACAUAUUUAACUACAAAAUAUGUUACAAAAUAUUAAUAUCCCUAAUGGACAAAUGAGUUCCAAUAAAUGGAUAACAAAAAACCAAUAAGUCUGUAGAAAAAUGGAGAAAAUAUAUUUGCAGAAUAUUUAUACAGGUGGUAAUGAAAUUGACAAUGAUGUUUAUCAUCAGCAGUAAACAGUAAAAAGUUUCACCCACCAGGACUAUAGAAAUUUUUCAAAUGGAUAAUUUUCAGAAUCAGCAAAGUUAUAGAAAAGUAGGUACCAGUUGCACAUACCAUUGGAGGAAAUGUAAAAUAUAGUUACCUUGUGGAAAGUAAUCUGAUGUAAUAUAUUAAAAUUUUAUCCAUGUAUGUCCUAUAAUUCAGCAAUUCCAUGUUGGGGAAUCCAUACAAAGAAAUACUUAUACACAUGCAGAAGGAGCUAAGUUUAAGAAAGCACACAUUUCAGCGGGUUGUGGUGUCUCACCCCUGUAAUCCCAGCACAUUGGGAGGCCGAGGUUGGUGGAUCACCUGAGGUCAGGAGUUUGAGACCAGCCUGGCCAACAUGGUGAAACCC
ensembl:lncRNA STXBP5-AS1 STXBP5 antisense RNA 1